AGAAGCUUGCUUCUCUGAUGUUAGCGGCGGACGGGUGAGUAACACGUGGAUAACCUACCUAUAAGACUGGGAUAACUUCGGGAAACCGGAGCUAAUACCGGAUAAUAUUUUGAACCGCAUGGUUCAAAAGUGAAAGACGGUCUUGCUGUCACUUAUAGAUGGAUCCGCGCUGCAUUAGCUAGUUGGUAAGGUAACGGCUUACCAAGGCAACGAUGCAUAGCCGACCUGAGAGGGUGAUCGGCCACACUGGAACUGAGACACGGUCCAGACUCCUACGGGAGGCAGCAGUAGGGAAUCUUCCGCAAUGGGCGAAAGCCUGACGGAGCAACGCCGCGUGAGUGAUGAAGGUCUUCGGAUCGUAAAACUCUGUUAUUAGGGAAGAACAUAUGUGUAAGUAACUGUGCACAUCUUGACGGUACCUAAUCAGAAAGCCACGGCUAACUACGUGCCAGCAGCCGCGGUAAUACGUAGGUGGCAAGCGUUAUCCGGAAUUAUUGGGCGUAAAGCGCGCGUAGGCGGUUUUUUAAGUCUGAUGUGAAAGCCCACGGCUCAACCGUGGAGGGUCAUUGGAAACUGGAAAACUUGAGUGCAGAAGAGGAAAGUGGAAUUCCAUGUGUAGCGGUGAAAUGCGCAGAGAUAUGGAGGAACACCAGUGGCGAAGGCGACUUUCUGGUCUGUAACUGACGCUGAUGUGCGAAAGCGUGGGGAUCAAACAGGAUUAGAUACCCUGGUAGUCCACGCCGUAAACGAUGAGUGCUAAGUGUUAGGGGGUUUCCGCCCCUUAGUGCUGCAGCUAACGCAUUAAGCACUCCGCCUGGGGAGUACGACCGCAAGGUUGAAACUCAAAGGAAUUGACGGGGACCCGCACAAGCGGUGGAGCAUGUGGUUUAAUUCGAAGCAACGCGAAGA
rnacentral:rRNA from 1 species